CGUUUAAGUGGGUAAAAGUUUGGCUGAUGAUACAGGAUGUAGUAUAGCAGAGAAACAUACACUCUGUGCACGUGGUCAGAGGAUCAAAGAACCUGGAACCAACAGAACAGAUACAAAGUGUGAAGACUGUCCGCUUGGCCAAUUUGUCCCAAAACCCAAGACGGGGUCAAAGAAGAAGACCCACCUAGUGAUGUUGUCUGCAUGAGUGCAUCCAGAAAUACUUUGAGAUAUUGUUACUUUUUCUUCACACCCCUUCUAUUGAUUUUGCCAGUCACAGUUGUUUGGCUUGUGACCACUGAACCAUCCUUUCUUUGCUUCCCGACCUAAUUCAUCUAAUCUCUGCCACUUAAGAAGUACUCCUUGCCUCCAGUCAACUAAAGUUUACUCACUGUUCAUUACAUUUUUUCCACAUUUCGGAAAUCUGUUCUUUUGUGUUAUGGCAAGGCUGUAAGUUCACCCUUCACCCAUGUAAAGGGAGGAGGAGGUUAGGCGAACUCAGUUGGUUGCAAUCAAUAACUUUACCAUUAGAUGCCACUAAAUCUUGCACACUUGUCAUUUAACCUUUUAGCCACUUACCUAGUGUUGGGCAACGGAAGAUUGACAAGGGCUCCUACACGUUUGGUACCUGCCCGACAGAAUCACAACACAGAUUUCGGUGCCUCGUUUCAAUUCCUGAGCUAUUUACUGAAAUUGCUGCCCUGCUUAAAGGCAACAUAAAUGAAUCAGCAUUAGUUAGUUAGUAGCUACCCCAACAUAGACAACAAAAAUGCCUAAAGCUAAACAGUCAAUAGGGUCGCUUUUACAACGGGAUGUAAAGCAAAUUUCUGAAAACAUUUGCUUCUGAAGGGGGAACACAUCAAAACUUAUGAAGCACAUGGUGAUGCACGGGAUACAUUUGAAAGCAGAUGGCUCACAUUUAUUUUUUCUCGCACACUUAAAAAUCACGUGUGCACACAUGAUACAAGUGCACAAAACUUGCUAGUGAGCAUUUCUGCUCCAUGUGCACAACUGCGGUUCCGUAAGCACGGGGCUGAGACGGGCGUCUUUCACCUUUCCCUGAAUUCAAAUCAUCAUUUUUUACAGCAUGGCUAUUGUCAGUCACUUCCUUCGUUAUUAAUACCAUUAAAAGGAUUUUGAUAUUGUUACUUAGAUUGUAAGCUAUUUUAUUUUAAUUAUUUCAAGCUUAAACUCCUUAACUGCCUGGAUAAACACGCCACCCACAAUGGAAACAAUCAGUUUCUGUCUUUCUAUAUUUACAGUAUUAUCACAUUGAUGUAGUUCAUAAUUUUCAAAUGUUUAUUUUUUGAGAAGUUUUGCUUUCAUGUGGUGAACACUGCUGCCUCACACCUAGAAGGGUUCAUAGUUCUUGGUUCAAAUCCAGCUUCGGUGGACCUAGUUACAGUGUUAAUUGAAGCAGUAAAAGCAGCCAUGUCUUUGCAGCACUUAGCGUAAAUAAAUAAAAUGUGAUGAACUAUUUCUCUUCUGUGCAGCUGUUUGCUACAUCUUCACACAGUCAUCUUGAUAUGUUCAAACAUCAACUUGAAACAAUGUGGUUAACAAGUGCUACACUAGACCCGUCACCGUGCACCGUGCACAGGUUUCCCCUCUGGGUAGAUCUGCAGUGGAGAGAGUCUGAUGUCAUCGGCCCUCUGUUUCAGUCUUUCCCCUGGUGCUCGUGGGUCAAGAGGAGCAUGACGUUUAACCCUUCAAGAAGGAUUCCAACACGUACAGCAAAUGUUUGAAAAGAAACAGCCUUUGGCGCCAGUGCUGGACCUGUUCUCUUGUGAAUGCUGAUCGAGCUGCACGGUGCUGGGCUGUGAGCACAGGUCCCAAAGGGAGGUUGGGCCCUCAUGGAGUCUGUUUCUGACAGUUUGGUCAGAAACGUGCACACCAGCAGGCUGCUGCAGGUCUUUUUUUUUUUUUGAUCUCUGGCAGAGCUCCUCCUGUUCCUCCUCGCACAAAGGGUUAGAAACCAGUACAGCUGCGGGGAUGAUGCCCUUCCAUGGGGCCCAGUCUCCUGGUAUCUGCUCCAUGCUCUUGACACUGUGCUGGGAGACACAACAAACCUUCUUGCGACCACACGAAUGGAUGUGCCAUCCGGAGGAGCUGGACAACCUGUGCAGCCUGAUUGGGAUGAGGGGGCCGCCUCAUGCUCCCAGCAGUGACAAGGACACUGCCGGAACACAAAACUAGAGAAGAAUCAGUCAGGAAGGGGAAGGAGAGAGCAAUUGCUUUUAAGGCUCUUUGGGGGCUAGCUUCAGAAUACAUAGCUGACCUCUUGACCCCCUAUGAGCAGCUAUGCAACCUGAGAUCCUCUGGUAGGUCAGUCCUGGCCAUUCCUCUGUCUAAUCUUAAAACUAAAGGUUACCAGGCCUUUUCUGUUCGGGCUCCUCAGUAAUGGAAUGAUCUGCCAGAGGAGAUCAGGAAAGCAAACACUCUUCUCCAAGUCACUUUUAAAACCCCACUAUUUUAGACUAGCUUUUUUUUAAUUGAUUUCACAGUUGGUUUUUUUUCGUUUUACCUCUCUUCUAAAUGAUAUGUGAAAUGCUCUGUAACUUGAUUUGAAAAGCGCCAUAUGAAUAAAGGUAUUAUUCAAUCUAA